GAUGAACGCUGGCGGCGUGCCUAAUACAUGCAAGUCGAGCGAACGGACGAGAAGCUUGUUUUUCUGAUGUUAGCGGCGGACGGGUGAGUAACACGUGGAUAACCUACUUAUUAUACUGGGAUAACUUCGGGAAACCGGAGCUGAUACCGCAUCAUACGUUGAACCGGAUGGUGCAAAAGUUCAAGGCGGCUUUGCUGUUACUUAGAGAUGGAUCCGCGUUGCAUUAGCUAGUUGGUAAGGUAACGGCUUACCAAGGCAACGAUGCAUAGCCGACCUGAGAGGGUGAUCGGCCACACUGGAACUGAGACACGGUCCAGACUCCUACGGGAGGCAGCAGUAGGGAAUCUUCCGCAAUGGGCGAAAGCCUGACGGAGCAACGCCGCGUGAGUGAUGAAGGUCUUCGGACCGUAAAACUCUGUUAUUAGGGAAGAACAGAUGUGUAAUUAACUGUGCACAUCUUGACGGUACCUAAUCAGAAAGCCACGGCUAACUACGUG
rnacentral:rRNA from 1 species